rnacentral:lncRNA from 1 species
CCAUAUGGGACCACCAGUGCAUACAAAAUUCCAAUAAAGGUAAACUGGGCUUAUUCUAUAAUGUUGUACAACGUACUCCCUUAUCAUAAAACAAAUUUGAAUCUGGAAGACAUUUAAUCUGAGUAUUAAAAGUUGGCUUUGAAAAAAAAAAAGUUGGCUUUGGAGAUGCCUGGGUGGCUCAGUAGGUUAAGCCUCUCACUCUUGAUUUUGGCUCAGAUCAUGAUCUCAGGGUUGUGUGAUAGAGCCUCACAUGGGGCUCUGCACUCAGCAAGGAGUCUGCUUGGGAUUCUCUCCCUCUCCUUCUCCCCCUCACUCUGUUCUGCCUGUGCUGUCUCCCUCUCUCUCUCAAUUAAAUAAACCUUAAAAAAAAAUUGGCUUUGAUGUAACAGGAGGAUGUGAUCCUAAAAGGAUCAUGAGUAUAUGCACAAGGACAGUAGCAGAUAAAUGAAGUUCAGCAUGGCUAGAGAUUAUGGUGUAGCAUAAGAGGUAUAUCAGAUGAUAACUUUUGCGGUUAGACUAUGCUUAGGUCACACACCCAAAAUUCAUCUGUGAAAAAAUUAUCCUAUUUUUUUGUAAUGUGAAUUAUCUCCAUUUUUUUGAAGAAUAGUUGUGAUAUAGAAUAGAUCUAGGUUUUAGAUGAUAAAAAAUAAAAGGCAUUAGAAAGAAUGAAUGGGACAGGGGUUAUAAUCCACUUUAGAAAAAGCUCUGGUUUUAGAUCAACAAAUGUAUGUAUAAUAAGUAUCUGAGAGAAUAAAAAGUGAGUAGAUUGAAAGUGUCAAAUCUUAAAAUGUUUUUAUGUUAAAAUUGGCUGGAUAUGUUGAUUGACAAUAUUAGCUGAAAAGGGACAUAUAUUUCUUUAUCACUAAAUCUAGAUGAAUGGAAAUGUGGUAGUACCAUGAACUCUGAAAGGAAACAUACACAGAUUAUCACAAUGACCAAGUCGAAAUGUUGUGGUCUUCAACUUGUGAUAUGGGUAAAUUAAGAAGUGGUGAAAUUACCAGACAGUAAUGAUCAAGAGCUGUAAAUCAGAUACUGUCUAUGUUACUUUGGAGGUUUGGAUCCUACUGAGUAACCUAAAUUAUCUAAGUGUCUUGGUGCUGAGCAUGUAUAGAGAAAAAAUGUAAUAAAAAACUAAAUAUUUGCUAUUAAAGAAAAGGCGAGCAGAUCCCAGUUUAUUUGGAGUUCAGAUCAUUUCACAAGUCUUAAGAUUUCUCAUUACAGUCCUCCAAGCAGUGCUCUUCCCUGAAGAGUAAUAUUUAAAGUCUAUGAUUAUUAGGGUUCAGAUAUUCUUCAGUGCAAAGUCUCUAUGGUAUUUUUUUAAGGAGGAAAUUUUCACUUUCAAUGUGUAUUAACAGGCUCCGUUAAGGCUGAAACACAAGAAGUUUCAGAGAGAACCUUCUGACAUAUAUAUCAUGUGCUUACAAUAAAAGUAAUUAUAAGGUUUAGGUACUAUAUUCUCUUUGCCAAAAUGAAAUCUAUCUGGAAAGAGCUAAAUGGACACCUCAGCAUGUAAACCCCUUGUUUGAUCUGUGUAGCUUGCUUUGAUAAUGAUACAAAAUGAUUAUAGUAACAGAAAUCAUACUUUAGUUAAAGAUGUAUUUGCCAUUACAAAGGAGUAUUUGUAUUUGAGUCAACAAAUAUGUGGCUGAAUGAAAAUUGGGGCAUAUCAGGUCUCAAUCUGGAAGAAUCCAAGGGAGAAAAUUUAACUUGUUCAGGGUUAUUCUAGAAAGCAUAAUACCACAAUAUAUGUUAUUGAAUUAAUAAUUUGCUUUGGAUUAAAUAUUCCACAAUUUAAUACACUCUCUUUCUUUUCUUUUUUUAAAUAACUUCAGACUUAUAAAAUAAUUGUGAAAAAAUGACAGAUUUUAUAUAUACCCUUACAUUAGCUUCCUCUAAUGUUAAAAUUUUAAUCACAGAAUAAUUAUUAUUAAUAUUGGUACAAUAUUAUUAACUAUGCUGCAGAAAACAUUCAAAUUUCAACAUUUUUUCUUCCUAAUAUCCUUUUUUCAUAUCAGAGUCUAAUCUAAAAUUCCACACUACAUUUACUUGUUAUGUUUCCAUACUCUCCAGCCUGUGAGUCUGUGAAAGCUCCUCAGUUUUUUCUUGUUUCAUACCUUGAUAUUUUGGAUGAAUAUGUGCGUUAUUUUGUAGGAUGUCUUUCAAUUUGACUUUAUUUGAUGUUUUCUCAUUAGAUUGAGACUGUACAAUUUUGGUAAGAAUACUCCAGGAAUAAUGUUAUGUCCAUUUGUCUCACUGUGUCUUAUCAAAAGCACAUUGGGGUGAUACAUUUUAUUUACUGGCAAUGUUAACCUAGAUCAUUUGAUUAAGGAGGUAAGCUACUGGCUGUCUUCAGUGUCACUAUUCUUUUCCUUGUAAUUGAUAACUAUCUUGAGGGAGACACUCGAAGACUAUGCAAAUAUCCUGUUUUUCUUCAAACUUUGUCCACUAAUUUUAACAUUUAUUUUUGCUGCAAAAGUUACUGUAAUGUUAGUAAUUGACCAUCUGAAUAAAAAGGUACAUUUCCCCUAGUAAUGGCAUUUAAAUGAGAAAUGUAAACUCAAAUCAGUCAGCAGUUUGUUUUUUAUAGACUUACUGUAGCUGAUAUCUACAGAUUAAUAAUCUCAAUUAUACAUCCUGAAAGAGGUAUGGGAUAUGAAAUAAUGAAAUAAAAUUUAAUUCUAUCUCUGUAUUUUCCACAUGAUUGAAACUUCACUUCCAUUCUGAAUUCUUUGAGUGAAGCAGAAACAACCUGAUGUUUUGGUACCUGGUACGAUUUGCAAUGAACUAUUCAGGCUUCUUAAUUCAGGUGAAUAUGGCAGAUGGAGGUCAGCAUCACUACAUCCCUAAUGUAAAGGUAAUUUUAGAGGCAUUUUGACCCUAAGUAUUCCCAAAUUACCCAGGUCCAGAAGUUGCCAAUUGAAGUAUUUAAUUCUAAUCUCCUUUCUAUUUUAGUCUUACUAUUAUUAUUCAUCAGUUUUUACUUCUGUUACAUAUCCCAGUUUGGUUGUCUGAUUAAUUUUAUAGGUUUUAGACCUCUGAAUAUCUGAGAUACAAUAGCACUAACCCUUCUUCUCCUUCCUCUUCCUUCUUUUAACUUUAUAUUGUUCUUAUUGGCAUGGAAUCCCAAAGUAACAGGGAUUACUAAAAGUCCUAAAAGAAUUUCAGUUUUCUAAAGAAGAAGAAGGAGAAGGAGAAGGAGAAGAAGAAGAGGGAGGGGGAGGAGGAUAGGAAGAAGAAUUAUUCCAUUUUUUUAUAACAAACUUAACAUAUUUAUAUAACAUAUUUGAUUCUAAGGCAAAAGUUUUUUUUAUUUUUUACAUUUUGGUUCCAUUAUAAUUAACAUAAAUAUUACUUUCAAGUAUACAGUAUAGUGAUUCAACAAUUCCAUAUAUCAUCUAGUGUUCAUCAUGAAAAUUAUGCUCCUUAAUCCCCAUGACCAAAAAAAAUAAAAAA